CAGUUAUCCCUCAGUAUCUGUGGGGAACUGGUUCCAGGAUGGAGGAAAUCUAUGGGUGCUUAAGUCUCUUACAUGAAAUGGUCAGCUCCAGCAGAUUAUUUUAAAAGUCAUUCUCAUGAUAAGAUGUCUCUGGCUUUUCCUAAGUAUGCCAGUCACAGCAUUAGGAACCAUGGAAGAUCUCCAAAGAAAAGGAAAGAUUAGGAGCCAGGGAGGCUUUGUUUUUUCCACCAUCUGGGACAAUGCAAGGAGGAUCCAGGAGUCAUGGCCACCUGUGCAACAUGUGGGUACAGCUCCUGCCCCCAAGGGAAAGAAGUGACCAGGGAAGAACUGGAGAGUUACCAGAAGGUCAGGACAGACUUCCUAGACCAGGAAGGGUCCAGACUAGGAGUUAACAGUGGACCGAGCACUUUGGGAGAGACAUCAACCGACAGGAAACAGGAUCAUGUGGUAGCAAGCCAUGCAUACAUUUACUUUAGGCUUAAAAAGAAAAACAAAAAGCUCAAAAAGAAAAGCAAGAAGCUCCUAGGAUCACUUUUCUGAGUUAAUAAAGGGUUCUGUGCAACUUCAA